rnacentral:rRNA from 1 species
AGCGAACGCUGGCGGCAGGCUUAACACAUGCAAGUCGAGCGGGCACUUUCGGGUGUCCGCGGCGGACGGGUGAGUAACGCGUGGGAACGUGCCCUCUGGUUCGGAAUAACUCAGGGAGACUUGAGCUAAUACCGGAUACGCCCUUUUGGGGAAAGGCUUGCUGCCGGAGGGUCGGCCCGCGACUGAUUAGCUUGAUGGUGAGGUAACGGCUCACCAAGGCGACGUACAGUAGCUGGUCUGAGAGGAUGGUCAGCCACACUGGGACUGAGACACGGCCCAGACUCCGACGGGUGGCAGCAGUGGGGAAGGUUGGACGAUGGGCGCAAGCCUGAUCCAGCCAUGCCGCGUGAGUGAGGAAGGCGUUAGGGUUGUAAAGCUCUUUAUCCGUGACGAUAAUGACGGUACCGGAGGAAUAAGCCCCGGCUAACUUCGUG